rnacentral:rRNA from 1 species
CAAUAGCGUAUACUAAAGUUGUUGCGAUUAAAAAGCUCGUAGUUGGAUCUCAGGCAUGGGCGCACGGUCCGCCUCGCGGCGGUCACUGUGUGUUUUGUUUCCCAUCCUACGCUUCCCGGUUAUCAGCCCAUGGUGCUCUUCACUGAGCGUUUUGGGUGGCCGGAACGUUUACUUUGAAGAAAUUAGAGUGUUCAAAGCAGGCACGUCGCCUGAAUAAUGGUGCAUGGAAUAAUGGAAUAGGACCUCGGUUCUAUUUUGCUGGUUUUCGGAACACGAGGUAAUGAUUAAGAGGGACAGACGGGGGCAUCCGUAUUGCGGUGUUAGAGGUGAAAUUCUUGGAUCAUCGCAAGACGAACAACUGCAAAAGCAUUUGCCAAGCAUGUUUUCAUUAG